UGUCUUCCAAAGCAGAAAUUUCAGAGUCAGAUGGGCUUUCCUAGGGUGAGGCUUCUCCAUUGCCAUCCAGAUGCACUGACCCCUGCAAUUUUCCAAAUAUGAGAAACUCAGCUNCAUAAUUUGUGGGAGUUGGAGGACUGCAUUUGUGCUCUUCUCCAU
rnacentral:snRNA from 11 species